rnacentral:lncRNA from 1 species
UGCAGCUCCAGGCCUCUGGGGUUUCAUCCAAGCUGCUCUUUGAAGGCCACACUGUGUCAAAGCCUUUGUUGAUGCCAGGGACACAGCCCACCACAGGCCAUGCCCAAAGGCCAGAGUCAGAGCACAAUUUUGAAGAUUACAGAAAACUCCAAAGAGAUUGAAGAGAUGGAAUAAAGGAUCCCAGCCCCCGAAAAGAGAAAGCUUUGUGUCUGUAGCCAUAGCCCUCGGCAAUCAGACAUCCUCCUCACUAAUGUGAGGUCAGGAGGGGACUAGAAGUGCUCAGAGGAUGGACUGCCUCUGGCCAGUGCAGGGGAGAGGCAGGGGUGUUGAGGCACAGGAGCCAGAUGAGAGGAACGUCAGCAGCAAAGCAGUAAGAAGAACAUGAGAGUUUCUUGAUAGUAAUAGAACUUCCUACACAGACUGGGAACCGGGUUGUAGCUUGAGGGGAUGUGACAACAUAGUGGCCCGGAAUUUUCACUUUGGAAAUUAACUGCUUUGGACCAGGAAGAAGCGCUGAGCCUAGAAAGGCAGGAGGCACAGGACUGUGUGGGCUUCUGUCUGGCAGGGACCUAUGAGCUUCAUAGGGCGAAUGAAUCAGGGGGCAGGAUAAAGCAGAGGCCUCCACCCUCACAGUGCUCUUAGCCAUCUCAGGCUUCCCGGAACACUGCUACCAGGCUGCCUGCUGGAGCCCUUUACACUCACAGGCCUUCCUGCUUGGGUUCUCUUCUGCAGGCUGCGUAAACCAGUCCUGUUGUAGUCCUUGUAGCAUCUGCUGUAGUGAUCUGGUUUGGGUUUCAGUAUUCCUUGCAAUGGUUUGGAAGGAAAUGGGAAGUUCUAACUACAUUUUCUUUUUGAUUCAAGAACCCUAGCAGUUCUACAACCACUGGGCCUAAAACUAAAAUAAAGGAAAAAUAAAUAAAAGGAAGCAAAAACAUCUAACUGGUAUGGCCUGGCAGCAUUGCCAGAGAGAGUCCUCAGGGGCCCAUGCUUGUUCUGUCUUUUGCUCUGCCAUCCCUAGGAUGGACAGCACGGAAGAGGCAGUACAUCUUAACAAAAUCAGGGUUCUGGAUGAAGGGGGGGUGGUGAAUGGUUGCUGCAAUCAACAGUUCAUACUUCAAUGGAAAGAAGGUGGGAUUUGAUUCCUGGUUGCAAAUCUUCACUCUGUCACCUGCUAUCUGUGUGCCCUCAGUCUCCCAUCAAGGAGUGAUGUCUGUUUCUCCACUUCUUGAAUCUGGGCUGGCCUUGCCAAUAGAAUAUGGCAGAAGUGACAUCGUUCCAUUUCUGAGUCAAAGCCUGAGGAGGCCUUGCAUGCUUCUACUCUCUCCUGCAACCCUGCACUGCCACAUAUCAACAAGACUUAUCAACAAGCCUGGGAUAGCCUGCUAGAUGAUGAAAGAUAUAUGGCCCGCUUGCUCCCAUCACUCCAGCUGAUAGCCAGGCAACCCUAAGAAGCAAAGUCACCUAGCUGAUUAGUAGCUGACCACUGACACAAAAGUAAGAUCAUCUGAGACCAGAAGACAGCCCAUCU